GACGAACGCUGGCGGCGUGCUUAACACAUGCAAGUCGAACGGUGAAGCGCCUUCCUUUUUGGUGGGUGUGGAUGAGUGCCGAACGGGUGAGUAACACGUGAGUAACCUGCCCCCUUCUUCUGGAUAACCGCAUGAAAGUGUGGCUAAUACGGGAUAUUCUGGGUCUGUCGCAUGAUGGGUCUGGGAAAGAUAUUGUUUCGGUGGGGGAUGGGCUCGCGGCCUAUCAGCUUGUUGGUGGGGUGAUGGCCUACCAAGGCGGUGACGGGUAGCCGGCCUGAGAGGGUGGACGGUCACACUGGGACUGAGACACGGCCCAGACUCCUACGGGAGGCAGCAGUGGGGAAUAUUGCACAAUGGGCGCAAGCCUGAUGCAGCGACGCCGCGUGAGGGAUGGAGGCCUUCGGGUUGUGAACCUCUUUCGCCAGUGAAGCAGGCCUGCCUCGUUUGUGGGUGGGUUGACGGUAGCUGGAUAAGAAGCGCCGGCUAACUACGUG
rnacentral:rRNA from 1 species